UACGAAGGGGGCUAGCGUUGUUCGGAAUUACUGGGCGUAAAGCGCACGUAGGCGGACAUUUAAGUCAGGGGUGAAAUCCCAGAGCUCAACUCUGGAACUGCCUUUGAUACUGGGUGUCUUGAGUAUGGAAGAGGUGAGUGGAAUUCCGAGUGUAGAGGUGAAAAUUCGUAGAUAUUCGGAGGAACACCAGUGGCGAAGGCGGCUCACUGGUCCAUUACUGACGCUGAGGUGCGAAAGGCGUGGGGAGCAAACAGG
rnacentral:rRNA from 1 species